rnacentral:rRNA from 1 species
UACCGAGGAUGCGAGCGUUAUCCGGAUUUAUUGGGUUUAAAGGGUGCGCAGUCGGAUUUUUAAGUCAGCGGUCAAAUCGUGGGGCUCAACCCCAUCCAGCCGUUGAAACUGGGGAUCUAGAGUGUGCGAGAGGUAUGCGGAAUGCGUGGUGUAGCGGUGAAAUGCAUAGAUAUCACGCAGAACCCCGAUUGCGAAGGCAGCAUACCGGUGCACAACUGACGCUCAGGCACGAAAGCGUGGGUAUCGAACAGG